UGGGUCCUUGUUGGUAUCUGUAUAUGAGUCUGGUGUCUAUUACUCUGUAUGGUCGUCUUUAAGGUGGGCGGGUUCCUCCUGCUGCAUACAGGAUAAUGUUGCAUUUUGUUAGUGCUUUUGUCUUCUUCAGUAGCUCAAUGAUCUCGUAGAUGUUUGGGUGGGCGUGUUUGAGUCGCUUCUUAUGUUUGUUGUGCCAUCCUUCCAGGUGAUUUGUGCAUGGUGCAGGGUCCUUCUGUGUAAUAGUGGUUCCAUAGAAAGCGGUAGUUUUCAACCCAAAACUCUGUCACGUAAUCUGUAAAUGAACUUGUAGCGGGUAUGUUUUCAGUUUCUCUAAUGUCUUCUAAAGUGUUUAGCCAAACAUCGUCAACAAGGUGGGGUGGAACAAGAGGUACCAGUAGUACUGCGGCUCGUCGUAUCAGUUAAGUAAUGUCUUCAUUUUCUUUAUAAUAGGACUGUAGUCCAUAUUUCUGUGCCUUUCGCCAUAUACACUGGGUGAAGUGGAAGAAGCAGCCUUUCACGGUUACCCCUGGACAUACUGUCUGUGUUGUGUUGUUGGUUGCUGUCUCGUAGUCAAUAGAUAGUGUUUCUGGUUGAAGCUGUAACUGGUGUUGUUGAUCAAUGGCUACUGAACAGUUGCAUUUA
rnacentral:lncRNA from 1 species